rnacentral:rRNA from 1 species
AACAGGGAUUGCCCUAGUAACGGCGAGUGAAGCGGCAACAGCUCAAAUUUGAAAUCUGGCUCUUUUAGAGUCCGAGUUGUAAUUUGCAGAGGGCGCUUUGGCUUUGGCAGCGGUCCAAGUUCCUUGGAACAGGACGUCACAGAGGGUGAGAAUCCCGUACGUGGUCGCUGGCUAUUGCCGUGUAAAGCCCCUUCGACGAGUCGAGUUGUUUGGGAAUGCAGCUCUAAAUGGGAGGUACAUUUCUUCUAAAGCUAAAUAUUGGCCAGAGACCGAUAGCGCACAAGUAGAGUGAUCGAAAGAUGAAAAGCACUUUGGAAAGAGAGUCAAACAGCACGUGAAAUUGUUGAAAGGGAAGCGCUUGCAGCCAGACUUGCUUACAGUUGCUCAUCCGGGUUUUUACCCGGUGCACUCUUCUGUAGGCAGGCCAGCAUCAGUUUGGGCGGUAGGAUAAAGGUCUCUGUCACGUACCUCCUUUCGGGGAGGCCUUAUAGGGGAGACGACAUACUACCAGCCUGGACUGAGGUCCGCGCAUCUGCUAGGAUGCUGGCGUAAUGGCUGUAAGCGGCCCGUCUUGAAACACGGACCAAGGAGUCUAACAUCUAUGCGAGUGUUUGGGUGUCAAGCCCGAGCGCGUAAUGAAAGUGAACGGAGGUGGGAACCCGCAAGGGUGCACCAUCGACCGAUCCUGAUGUCUUCGGAAGGAUUUGAGUAAGAGCAUGGCUGUUGGGACCCGAAAGAUGGUGAACUAUGCUUGAAUAGGGUGAAGCCAGAGGAAACUCUGGUGGAGGCUCGCAGCGGUUCUGACGUGCAAAUCGAUCGUCAAAUUUGGGCAUAGGGGCGAAAGACUAAUCGACCAGAGAAUCUUAC